rnacentral:rRNA from 1 species
AACGAACGCUGGCGGCAUGCCUAACACAUGCAAGUCGAACGAGACCUUCGGGUCUAGUGGCGCACGGGUGCGUAACGCGUGGGAACCUGCCCUUAGGUUCGGAAUAACUCCCCGAAAGGGGUGCUAAUACCGGAUAAUGUCUUCGGACCAAAGAUUUAUCGCCUUUGGAUGGGCCCGCGUUGGAUUAGCUAGUUGGUAGGGUAAAAGCCUACCAAGGCGACGAUCCAUAGCUGGUCUGAGAGGAUGAUCAGCCACACUGGGACUGAGACACGGCCCAGACUCCUACGGGAGGCAGCAGUGGGGAAUAUUGGACAAUGGGCGAAAGCCUGAUCCAGCAAUGCCGCGUGAGUGAUGAAGGCCUUAGGGUUGUAAAGCUCUUUUACCCGGGAUGAUAAUGACAGGACCGGGAGAAGAAGCUCCGGCUAACUCCGU